rnacentral:rRNA from 1 species
GACGAACGCUGGCGGCGUGCUUAACACAUGCAAGUCGAACGGAAAGGCCCUGCUUUUGUUGGGUGCUCGAGUGGCGAACGGGUGAGUAACACGUGAGUAACCUGCCCUUGACUUUGGGAUAACUUCAGGAAACUGGGGCUAAUACCGGAUAGGAUCUCCUGCUGCAUGGUGGGGAUUGGAAAGUUUCGGCGGUUGGGGAUGGACUCGCGGCUUAUCAGCUUGUUGGUGGGGUAGUGGCUUACCAAGGCUUUGACGGGUAGCCGGCCUGAGAGGGUGACCGGCCACAUUGGGACUGAGAUACGGCCCAAACUCCUACGGGAGGCAGCAGUGGGGAAUAUUGCACAAUGGGCGGAAGCCUGAUGCAGCAACGCCGCGUGCGGGAUGACGGCCUUCGGGUUGUAAACCGCUUUCGCCUGUGACGAAGCGUGAGUGACGGUAAUGGGUAAAGAAGCACCGGCUAACUACGUG